GGCGAGAGAUAGUUGAAGUGAAAAAUUCUCCGCUAACUGAGAUCAAUCAGAUAGUUCUCUUCUUUUUACUUCUGGCUCUUGAACACAACUCAAAAUCUUUUGGUUCAAAUAUAAUUAUCUGCAUAGGCUUUGGUGUUUUCGUUUAGUCUCGCGGUCAGUCAUCUUUGGGCCGUGAGUUUUCAUAAAGGUAAUUUGGGCUGGGGUUGUCAUGCUUUUACUGUUUUACGGUCACAAAGUGUGUGAUUGAUACAGCAUGUUUCGAUGUUCUUGUGCUUUUGUUUGAAUGGUACUAAAAAAGCCGUGGUAUUAUUGUUUGGCUGCAUUUUAGUUCAUGUUGUACAGGUGAUAUCAUUGCGAUGCCUCUGUUCAUUUCCGUAUUUUAUGAUCUGGAUUUUAGAGCCAAUGUAUUAGGGGUCUGGGAUGUCCCAAAAGGAUUGUGAAAGACUAAAAUUAUUGCUAUUAUUAUUAUCAAUCUACAAUAUUGGGUAUUUUAUCCUUGAUCCUUGGUGACUGUUGAAGCCCAAGUGAAAAAAUAAAAGUAAUAUCUUUGAUAUAACCAAGGAGCACAGUUGUUGCAGUCCAAUAAAAGCAAAUCAGCAAAUGUCGUGGGCUGAUCAUACUCUUCGUUGAUGUCAGGAUGUCACGACAAACGCCCAAUUUGGUGCAGCGUGGCUUUUCAGGAUUUUUCUCUCAGUAACUACACUCAGUUGCAUUAUUAUGAUGCGCGGCAUUGAGUAAAAAGCAAAAAGGGUCAGUUUCAUGGCUAUCUGUGUUGCUACGUUAGUGAACGGCAUCAACUAGUGUCCGGUUCCAAACUUGACUGACAAAUGUCUCCUCAGCUAUGACACAAUAAAGCUGAAUCUAAAGCAAGCAACUUGUAGUUUUGUCGGAAAGAGGACUCAGAUGUUGGCCCCAUAUGAGUUAGCAUUGUUUGCAUAUUUGUUUUAAUCCAACCCGAUGAUUUUACCUUGGCGAAACCAUUCCACAAACUGUUCCCCAUUGUUGAAUUAUUUUCCCCCGCUAGGCCCCACAUAGCACAUACCAGUAUGCUUUGGUGAGAUAAUUGCAACAAGAUCUCAAAGAAGUGUGAAAUUGCAUCUUCCCUUCCACAUACUGUGAUGUCAUUCUGGCAUAUCGUCAGGACAACAAUUAUUUGACAUUUGCCACAAAUAUUUUUGUUAAUUCCUGUUCAUCACACUUUCUUUGCCCUUGGAAAGCCUGUCGGGGAACAUGUUAAUGAAACAAAUUGUGCAAUGUCAUGAUAGGUAACAUACUACGUGUGUGUGUGUGUGUGUAUCUAUGUAGUCACCAAGGGUUUGCCUUCAUAUAAUUAGUGUUCACAUCUCAAGAAAUUAAGAUGCAGUUGGCUCACCUCUAUUGCUUCAAGCCAAUGGGAACCGGCAUUUUUUGUCGUUUUUCGUUCACAUUUAGAAUUCAGCAUGAAGAAAGCUUGUUUUUAAUGUUAUUUAUACAGGUAUAAUUAAAUCAGAUUUGGAGCCUGUGUCUUGGAUGGAGGAGGGAGCAGGGGCACACUCUCCCUCCCUCUCAUCAGUCGCUUCCCUCAGGUUGAUGUCUUUGACCUUCAAGUGUCAUCUUUACAAUGGAUACUUGUACUGUAUUUGAUUAUGUUGAACUCUUUACUGGGACCAGUGAACUGUUCCCUGCCUCAACCUGUUGUCAGCUAUUGGAUUAUUGCUUGAUUAAAAAUCUUUAACAACAUGAA